rnacentral:rRNA from 1 species
CCUACGGGUGGCAGCAGUAGGGAAUCUUCCACAAUGGGCGCAAGCCUGAUGGAGCAACGCCGCGUGGGUGAAGAAGGUCUUCGGAUCGUAAAACUCUAUCAGCAGGGAAGAAAAUGACGGUACCUGACUAAGAAGCCCCGGCCAACUACGUGCCAACAGCCGGGGGAAUUCGUAGGGGGCAAGCGUUAAUCGGAUUUACUGGGUGUAAAGGGACCGUAGACGGCAGCACCAGGCUGGAGUGAAAUCCCGGGGCUUAACCCCGGAACUGCUUUGGAAACUGGGCGGCUGGAGUGCAGGAGGGGUAAGCGGAAUUCCUAGUGUAGCGGUGAAAUGCGUAGAUAUUAGGAGGAACACCGGUGGCGAAGGCGGCUUACUGGACUGUAACUGACGUUGAGGCUCGAAAGCGUGGGGAGCAAACAGGAUUAGAUACCCCUGUAGUC